CCCUUCAGCACCGCCCAGGCCUAGGAGGCACAAUUCAGCCCCCGCCCCCGCCCCCUAACCUCGGGUAUGGGCACAAUAAAGGCGCCGACGCUGGGAGACUUCAAUUUCCUAACGCGCAUGUGCGCACAGUUGGCACGUGCGCAUGCAGGGGACCAUGGGAGCAAGGUGCGCCUGCGCAAGGGCGGGCGCUCGGUUCGGAGCGCCAGGCAAGGCAGCGUGUCGGGUGUGGGUCAUCGCUUUGAUCCUUCUUGCCUCUUGGAAGGUGACGUGCAUAUGCAGUUAGAUGACUGAUGACAGAAACUUGACUCAAAAUGCCUAAUUUCGAACAUCCAGAGUAUCCUGAAGCUACCUUGCUUCACUUGGAAAGUAUGGUGCCCUGUCGAGAAUCCCAGGUGUCGUCACUGUUGUCAAUAUUUGGAGAGCGUCAGCAUUUUAGCUUCCCAUCGAUCUUUAUCUAUGGACAUACAUCUUGUGGCAAGACCUAUGUGAUGCAAACUCUUCUAGAAACAUUAGAGCUUCCUCAUGUGUUUGUGAACUGUGUUGAAUGCUUUACUUCAAGGCUGCUUUUAGAGGAAAUUUUGACCCAGUUACAGAGCCUUUCAUCUGAAAAGAAACACGGUUCUCAUGUGCCCUGUGACACGUUUAAUGACUUUGUGCGUCUGUUUAAGCAAGAAAUUAUUACUCAAGAUCUGCAGAAUCAAACGGUAUAUAUUGUGCUGGAUAAAGCAGAGCAGCUGAGGGAAAUGGAGGCAAAUGUGUUACCAGGGUUUCUUAGACUACAAGAAAUGACAGACAGAAAUGUCACUGUUAUUUUCCUUAGUGAAAUUGUGUGGGAACUGUUUCGUCCAAACACUGGAUGCUUGGAGCCAUUCACCUUGUAUUUUUCUGACUACAGCAUAGGAAAUCUACAAAAGAUUCUGUCCCAUUAUCAUCCUCCAGAAUAUUCUGCUGAUUUCUAUGCUGCGUACAUUAAUAUUCUUCUUGGUGUCUUCUACACAGUCUGCAGGGACUUGAAAGAGCUUCGACAUCUGGCUGCACUAAAUUUUACUAAAUAUUGUGAACCAGUAGUCAGAGGAGAAGCAAAUGAACGUGACACACGUCGACUCUGGAAAAAUAUUGAAUCUCAUUUGAAGAAAGCAAUGCAGACUGUUUAUCUCCGGGAAAUAUCCAGCUCACAGUGGGAGAGAAUACAGAAGGAUGAUGGAGAACCUGGGCACUUGAAAGGACUUUCUGCACAUGCUCACGUAGAACUUCCUUAUUACUCCAAAUUCCUUCUAAUAGCUGCUUACCUUGCCUCCUAUAAUCCUGCCAGGACAGAUAAAAGGUUCUUCCUUAAGCAUCAUGGAAAAAUCAAGAAGACAAACUUUCUGAAAAAACAUGAAAAGACCAGCAAUCACCUCCUUGGACCAAAGCCAUUCCCCCUGGACAGAUUGUUAGCAAUAUUAUAUAGUAUUGUGGACAACAAAGUUGCUCCAACUGCAAAUAUAUUUUCCCAGUGUGGCACCUGCUAUACAGAUUGGAAGGAAUCAUGCUUGUUGCCCGUUCCUCUGAUGAAUAGGUCAGCUGGAGUGCUCUUUUUACUGUGGCAUAUCCUCCCCCAGGAGACCAAAGAUCACCUCUCUUGUGACACUCCAGCUUUUAACCUUGGUUGGCCAUGAUGACCAGCUUGAUGGACCAAAGUACAAAUGUACUGUCUCUCUUGACUUCAUCAGAGCUAUUGCAAGGACCGUGAACUUCGACAUAAUAAAGUACUUGUACGAUUUCUUGUGAAAACAAGCCUCACAGCCAUAUGGACACUGUGACAAUGACUAAAGCAAGCUGUAUUCCUCUAUCUACUUAGCUGGCCAGGGAGAGGAGCGUUUUGGCUCUACUGGAUUUGUCCAAACAGGUGCUGACCCAGCAUGCAAUCUGAUGAAAAUAUUCUGAUUGGUCUGGGUGGAUCUGAGCAGAGGACUAUUUACCAGGACCCUGGAGUAUUUGGAAGCAAUGUGUUAAUUAUAAACAGCAGGGUUUGAGCACAAUCUGUUCUACUCUUAAUGAUAUUAUCUUAACACUGAAAUUGCCUGAAACCCAUUUACUUAGGGCUACAUUUUGCUCUAUGAACUAUCCCCUGUGCUUUGAACAUGGCAGCAGCCCUUGUUUGUAUGCCCAGUCUUUUCACGUCCUCUCCGCAGGAAUCUUUGCAAUUGCCUGCCAAAGCAGCUUUUCCUAAAGCCACCAUUUUAAGAGAGCGGAGCAGCAAAAUAUAAUAAACAUAAGUGCAUGUUUAAAAUCAA